UACGGAGGGGGUUAGCGUUGUUCGGAAUUACUGGGCGUAAAGCGCGCGUAGGCGGAUUAGUCAGUUAGAGGUGAAAUCCCAGGGCUCAACCCUGGAACUGCCUUUAAUACUGCUAGUCUUGAGUUCGAGAGAGGUGAGUGGAAUUCCGAGUGUAGAGGUGAAAUUCGUAGAUAUUCGGAGGAACACCAGUGGCGAAGGCGGCGUCAGCUGGCUCGAUACUGACGCUGAGGUGCGAAAGAUGUGGGGAGGCAAAACAGGAUUAGAUACCCGGGUAGUCC
rnacentral:rRNA from 1 species